AACGAACACUGGCGGCAUGCCUAACACAUGCAAGUCGAACGAACCCUUCGGGGUGAGUGGCGCACGGGUGCGUAACGCGUGGGAACCUGCCCUUAGGUUCGGAAUAACAGUUAGAAAUGACUGCUAAUACGGGAUAAUAUGCUUUUAUCGCAUGAUAGAAGUAUCAAAGCUUUUGCGGUACAGGAUGGACCCGCGUCUGAUUAGCUAGUUGGUAAGGUAACGGCUUACCAAAGCGACGAUCAGUAGCCGACCUGAGAGGGUGAUCGGCCACAUUGGAACUGAGACACGGUCCAAACUCCGACGGGAGGCAGCAGUGGGGAAUAUUGCACAAUGGGCGAAAGCCUGAUGCAGCAAUGCCGCGUGAGUGAUGAAGGCCUUAGGGUUGUAAAGCUCUUUUACCAGGGAUGAUAAUGACAGUACCUGGAGAAUAAGCUCCGGCUAACUACGUGCCAGCAGCCGCGGUAACAC
rnacentral:rRNA from 1 species